rnacentral:rRNA from 1 species
AUUGAACGCUGGCGGCAGGCUUAACACAUGCAAGUCGAGCGGGGUGAUGGUGCUUGCACUAUCACUUAGCGGCGGACGGGUGAGUAAUGCUUAGGAAUCUGCCUAUUAGUGGGGGACAACAUCUCGAAAGGGAUGAUAAUACCGCAUACGUCCUACGGGAGAAAGCAGGGGAUCACUUGUGACCUUGCGCUAAUAGAUGAGCCUAAGUCGGAUUAGCUAGUUGGUGGGGUAAAGGCCUACCAAGGCGACGAUCUGUAGCGGGUCUGAGAGGAUGAUCCGCCACACUGGGACUGAGACACGGCCCAGACUCCUACGGGAGGCAGCAGUGGGGAAUAUUGGACAAUGGGGGGAGCCCUGAUCCAGCCAUGCCGCGUGUGUGAAGAAGGCCUUAUGGUUGUAAAGCACUUUAAGCGAGGAGGAGGCUCUUUUGGUUAAUACCCAAGAUGAGUGGACGUUACUCGCAGAAUAAGCACCGGCUAACUCUGUGCCAGCAGCCGCAGUAA